GGGCUUGACUGGAAUUGACAGCGAGUUGGAAUGGUAUGUAAGCAUGCAGUGGGUCGGUAAUUUCCACUUAAAUAUCAGUUAUCAAAAUUUUAUCUGGCAACGAAAAUUAUGCUCUCGCUGCUUAAUCGAAGUAUAGUAGAUUAGCUUUAUUUCCGCCAAAGUGGUAGAAACGAGAUGUCACUCAAAAGGCUCUUGUUCCGAAGCGUUUGAUAAAGUGGCACAGUAAAAUCGGGAAUAGUUUGAGUUUUUCCUCGUAACUCUUACGAAAUUUUAGAGGAUAAGGCAUAAGUUGGUGGCUUUGGUCUUGCUUAUGUUCGAAAAUUUUAGGCAAAGAUAAGCAUGUAGAAAGCAUAUGGUUUCCUCGUUUGGACGGGAGUUCGAUUCUCCCCAGGUCCACGA
rnacentral:tmRNA from 1 species